rnacentral:snRNA from 1 species
AAUCUUACCUGUCAGGGGAGAUACCAUGAUCUUGAAGGUGGUUUUCCCAGGGCGAGGCUCACUCAUUGCACUGCGGGUGUGCUGACCCCUGCGAUUUCCCCCGAAUGUGGGAAACUCGACUGCAUAAUUUGUGGUAAUGGGGGAUUGCGUUCGUGCUAUCCCCUG